GAUGAACGCUAGCGGGAGGCCUAACACAUGCAAGCCGAGCGGUAUUUCUUCUUCGGAAGAGAGAGAGCGGCGUACGGUGCGGAACACGUGUGCAACCUGCCUUUAUCUGGGGAUAGCCUUUCGAAAGGAAGAUUAAUACCCCAUAAUAUAUUUGAUGGCAUCAUUAGAUAUUGAAAAACUCCGGUGGAUAGAGAUGGGCACGCGCAAGAUUAGAUAGUUGGUGGGUAACGGCCACCAAGUCGAUGAUCUUUAGGGGCCUGAGAGGUGAUCCCCACACUGGUACUGAGACACGGACCAGACUCCUACGGGAGGCAGCAGUGAGGAAUAUUGGACAAUGGGUGAGAGCCUGAUCCAGCCAUCCCGCGUGAAGGAAUAAGGUCCUAUGGAUUGUAAAACUUCUUUCUACAGGGAUAAACCUAUUUACGUGUAAAUAGCUGAA
rnacentral:rRNA from 1 species